rnacentral:rRNA from 1 species
UGAGUUUGAUCCUGGCUCAGGAUGAACGCUGGCGGCGUGCUUAACACAUGCAAGUCGAACGGUGAACACGGAGCUUGCUCUGUGGGAUCAGUGGCGAACGGGUGAGUAACACGUGAGCAACCUGCCCCUGACUCUGGGAUAAGCGCUGGAAACGGCGUCUAAUACUGGAUAUGUGACGUGACCGCAUGGUCUGCGUCUGGAAAGAAUUUCGGUUGGGGAUGGGCUCGCGGCCUAUCAGCUUGUUGGUGAGGUAAUGGCUCACCAAGGCGUCGACGGGUAGCCGGCCUGAGAGGGUGACCGGCCACACUGGGACUGAGACACGGCCCAGACUCCUACGGGAGGCAGCAGUGGGGAAUAUUGCACAAUGGGCGCAAGCCUGAUGCAGCAACGCCGCGUGAGGGACGACGGCCUUCGGGUUGUAAACCUCUUUUAGCAGGGAAGAAGCGAAAGUGACGGUACCUGCAGAAAAAGCGCCGGCUAACUACGUGCCAGCAGCCGCGGUAAU